AUUGAACGCUGGCGGCAGGCCUAACACAUGCAAGUCGAACGGUAACAGGAAGAAGCUUGCUUCUUUGCUGACGAGUGGCGGACGGGUGAGUAAUGUCUGGGAAACUGCCUGAUGGAGGGGGAUAACUACUGGAAACGGUAGCUAAUACCGCAUAACGUCGCAAGACCAAAAAGGGGGACCUUCGGGCCUCUUGCCAUCGGAUGUGCCCAGAUGGGAUUAGCUAGUAGGUGGGGUAACGGCUCACCUAGGCGACGAUCCCUAGCUGGUCUGAGAGGAUGACCAGCCACACUGGAACUGAGACACGGGCCAGACUCCUACGGGAGGCAGCAGUGGGGAAUAUUGCACAAUGGGCGCAAGCCUGAUGCAGCCAUGCCGCGUGUAUGAAGAAGGCCUGCGGGUUGUAAAGUACUUUCAGCGGGGAGGAAGGGAGUAAAGUUAAUACCUUUGCUCAUGGACGUUACCCGCAGAAGAAGCACCGGCUAACUCCGU
rnacentral:rRNA from 1 species